rnacentral:rRNA from 1 species
AGUGAACGCUGGCUGUAGGCCUAACACAUGCAAGUCGAACGGCAGCACAGUAAGAGCUUGCUCUUACGGGUGGCGAGUGGCGGACGGGUGAGGAAUACAUCGGAAUCUACUUUUUCGUGGGGGAUAACGUAGGGAAACUUACGCUAAUACCGCAUACGACCUACGGGUGAAAGCAGGGGAUCUUCGGACCUUGCGCGAUUGAAUGAGCCGAUGUCGGAUUAGCUAGUUGGCGGGGUAAAGGCCCACCAAGGCGACGAUCCGUAGCUGGUCUGAGAGGAUGAUCAGCCACACUGGAACUGAGACACGGUCCAGACUCCUACGGGAGGCAGCAGUGGGGAAUAUUGGACAAUGGGCGCAAGCCUGAUCCAGCCAUGCCGCGUGGGUGAAGAAGGCCUUCGGGUUGUAAAGCCCUUUUGUUGGGAAAGAAAAGCAGCAGGUUAAUACCCCGCUGUUCUGACGGUACCCAAAGAAUAAGCACCGGCUAACUUCGUG